rnacentral:rRNA from 1 species
CGGGUUGUAAAGCACUUUCAGUAGGGAGGAAGGUAGUGUAGUUAACACCUGCAUUAUUUGACGUUACCUACAGAAGAAAGCACCGGCUAACUCCGUGCCAGCAGCCGCGGUAAUACGGAGGGUGCGAGCGUUAAUCGGAAUUACUGGGCGUAAAGCGCAUGCAGGCGGCCUGUUAAGUCAGAUGUGAAAGACCCGGGGCGUUAACCUCGGAAUUGCAUUUGUAAACUAGGCAGGCUAGAGUCUUGUAGAGGGGGGUAGGAAUUUCAGGUGUAGCGGUGAAAUGCGUAGAGAUCUGAAGGAAUACCAGUGGCGAAGGCGGCCCCCUCGGACAAAGACUGACGCUCAGAUGCGAAAGCGUGGGGAGUAAACAGGAUUAGAUACCCUGGUAG